rnacentral:rRNA from 1 species
UACAGAGGUCUCGAGCGUUGUUCGGAUUCAUUGGGCGUAAAGGGUGCGUAGGUGGCGCUGUAAGUCAGGUGUGAAAUUUCGGAGCUUAACUCCGAAACUGCAUUUGAUACUGCGGUGCUUGAGGACUGGAGAGGAGACUGGAAUUUACGGUGUAGCAGUGAAAUGCGUAGAGAUCGUAAGGAAGACCAGUGGCGAAGGCGGGUCUCUGGACAGUUCCUGACACUGGAGGCACGAAGGCCAGGGGAGCAAACGGG